rnacentral:rRNA from 1 species
GAUGAACGCUGGCGGCGUGCCUAAUACAUGCAAGUCGAGCGAACGGACGAGAAGCUUGCUUCUCUGAUGUUAGCGGCGGACGGGUGAGUAACACGUGGAUAACCUACCUAUAAGACUGGGAUAACUUCGGGAAACCGUAGCUAAUACCGGAUAAUAUUUUGAACCGCAUGGUUCAAAAGUGAAAGACGGUCUUGCUGUCACUUAUAGAUGGAUCCGCGCUGCAUUAGCUAGUUGGUAAGGUAACGGCUUACCAAGGCAACGAUGCCUAGCCGACCUGAGAGGGGGUACGGGCACUGAGAGGGUGAGACGCGGUCCGGGCGCCUACGUGAGGCCGAAGCAGGGAAUGGGCGCAGAAGUGCGGAAGCGUGAAGAAGCAGCGGAGGCCGGAUGAAGAAACGCCUCGUGUCGUAUGACGGUGUUCGGGGUGUAGAACAUAUGUGCCUGUGACGAUGCACGACUGGCCGGUACGUAAACAGAAAGCCCCGGCUACCACCUG